rnacentral:pre_miRNA from 1 species
UGGAACUGCUGGGUGAAUUAGGUAGUUUCAUGUUGUUGGGCCUGGGUCUCUGAACACAACGACAUGGAACCACCUGACUCACGGCAGUUACU